rnacentral:sRNA from 1 species
GGAAGGAUCAUUAUCGUACAAAAUGUGAGGGGCAUGCAAGGGCUGUCGCUGACUCAAAAGGUUGUGCACGCCCGGGUGUGUCCCCUCACAUAAACAAUCCACCUCACCCUUUGUGCAUCACCGCGUGGGCUCCCUUCUCGGAGGGGGCUCGCGUUUUCACACAAAACCCCCCCUCUUAAAAAGUGUAGAAUGACCUCAUAUGUGCGCUAACCCGCAAUCAAUACAACUUUCAACAACGGAUCUCUUGGCUCUCGCAUCGAUGAAGAACGCAGCGAAAUGCGAUACGUAAUGUGAAUUGCAGAAUUCAGUGAAUCAUCGAAUCUUUGAACGCACCUUGCGCCCCUUGGUAUUCCGAGGGGCACACCCGUUUGAGUGUCGUGAAAACCUCAACCUCCUUGGUUUCUUCUGGAGACCAAAGCAGGCUUGGACUUUGGAGGCCUUUGCUGGCACCUCUGCCAGCUCCUCUUAAACAAAUUAGCAGGGUCCUCUUUGCUGGUCCUUGACGUGUGAUAAGAUGCUUCCAUGUCUUGGUUUCUGGCUCUGUCGCCUUUGGGACCUGCUUCUAACCGUCUGGACCUUGCGUCGAGACAACGUUCGAGCGUGUGCGACCCCUUCUCGGGGAAGCUCCCUUGACCCCACGAACCCUUGACCUCAAAUCGGGUGAGACUACCCGCUGAACUUAAGCAUAUCAAUAAGCGGAGGAAAAGAAACUAACAAGGAUUCCCCUAGUAACUGCGAGUGAAGCGGGAAAAGCUCAAAUUUAAAAUCUGGCGGCCUUUGGCUGUCCGAGUUGUAAUUUAGAGAAGCGUCUUCCGCGCCGGACCGUGCACAAGUCUCCUGGAAUGGAGCGUCAUAGAGGGUGAGAAUCCCGUCUUUGGCACGGACACCUGGUGCU